rnacentral:rRNA from 1 species
UACGGGGGGGGCAAGCGUUGUUCGGAAUUACUGGGCGUAAAGGGCUCGUAGGCGGCCAACUAAGUCAGACGUGAAAUCCCUCAGCUUAACUGGGGAACUGCGUCUGAUACUGGAUGGCUUGGAUUCGGGAGAGGAAUGCGGAAUUCCAGGUGUAGCGGUGAAAUGCGUAGAUAUCGUGAGGAAGACCGGUGGCGAAGGCGGGUCUCUGGGCCGUAACUGACGCUGAGGAGCGAAAGCAUGGGGGAGCGAACAGG